rnacentral:rRNA from 1 species
UGGGUAACCUGCCUCAAAGAGGGGAAUAGCCUCCCGAAAGGGAGAUUAAUACCGCAUAAUAUGUUUUAGUCGCAUGACUUAAACAUCAAAGGAUUUUCUUUUAGAAAUUCCACUUUGAGAUGGACCCGCGGCGCAUUAGCUAGUUGGUGAGGUAACGGCUCACCAAGGCAACGAUGCGUAGCCGACCUGAGAGGGUGAUCGGCCACAUUGGAACUGAGAACGGUCCAGACUCCUACGGGAGCAG